rnacentral:ncRNA from 2 species
CAUCCAUCGAGACCGGCUGAGGGACAGGCCCUUUGACGCCGGGGCAACCUACCGCUUCCACCGCAUUGCGGUGACGGCGGGAAGGUGCCAACUCCUGCGGACCAGCCGCUUCGCGCUGUGAUCCGGAAGAUGGUUG